rnacentral:rRNA from 1 species
GACGAACGCUGGCGGCGUGCUUAACACAUGCAAGUCGAACGAAGUGGCGAACGGGUGAGUAACGCGUAAUCAACCUGCCCUUCAGAGGGGGACAACAGUUGGAAACGACUGCUAAUACCGCAUACUCAAGGAUGGGAUUGCGGCGGAUUAGCUAGGUGGAGGGGUAACGGCCCACAAAGGCGAGGAUCAGUAGCCGGGCUGGGAGGAUGAACGGCUACAAUGGGACUGGGACACGGCCCAGACUCCUACGGGAGGCAGCAGUGGGGAAUCUUCCGCAAUGGACGAAAGGCUGACGGAGCAACGCCGCGGGAGUGAUGACGGGCUUCGGGUUGUAAAGCUCUGUUAAUCGGGACGCGGUACCGGAAUAGAAAGCCACGGCUAACUACGUGCCAGCAGCCGCGGUAAUAC